rnacentral:rRNA from 1 species
UACGGGGGGAGCAAGCGUUGUUCGGAUUUACUGGGCGUAAAGGGCGCGUAGGCGGUCAGCACAAGUCAGUUGUGAAAUCUCCGGGCUUAACUCGGAAAGGUCAACUGAUACUGUGCGACUAGAGUGCAGAAGGGGCAACUGGAAUUCUCGGUGUAGCGGUGAAAUGCGUAGAUAUCGAGAGGAACACCCGCGGCGAAGGCGGGUUGCUGGGCUGACACUGACGCUGAGGAGCGAAAGCGUGGGGAGCGAACAGG